UUGAACGCUGGCGGCAGGCCUAACACAUGCAAGUCGAGCGGAUGAAGGGAGCUUGCUCCUGGAUUCAGCGGCGGACGGGUGAGUAAUGCCUAGGAAUCUGCCUGGUAGUGGGGGAUAACGUCCGGAAACGGGCGCUAAUACCGCAUACGUCCUGAGGGAGAAAGUGGGGGAUCUUCGGACCUCACGCUAUCAGAUGAGCCUAGGUCGGAUUAGCUAGUUGGUGGGGUAAAGGCCUACCAAGGCGACGAUCCGUAACUGGUCUGAGAGGAUGAUCAGUCACACUGGAACUGAGACACGGUCCAGACUCCUACGGGAGGCAGCAGUGGGGAAUAUUGGACAAUGGGCGAAAGCCCGAUCCAGCCAUGCCGCGUGUGUGAAGAAGGUCUUCGGAUUGUAAAGCACUUUAAGUUGGGAGGAAGGGCAGUAAGUUAAUACCUUGCUGUUUUGACGUUACCAACAGAAUAAGCACCGGCUAACUUCGUG
rnacentral:rRNA from 1 species